UUUUUAGUCAGUCUGCAAUAAGAAUGUAAAAUUUUUUAUAGGCACUAGGAAUAUAUGUUGGUAUUGUUAAAGGCUGUGGAAUGUCAAAGAGACUAAUCGAGAAAUGCAUCGACUCUGUUGUUUAGAAGUGUUAAUUAAGGGUGAUGAAUAUCUGAAAUGAACAUUAUCACGCAAAAAAGAGUGACAUCAAGAAAUCAAACCAAGUCCACGAACCAGAACUUCAUACGAAACUCUUCAAUUCAAUUGGGAAUGAACAGACACUUUUUGGAGCAUCAAUGUAGCUGACAAAAUGCAUUACUACGUAUUGAUUUGGAACGAAUACGAAAUUCAAAAAGAACAUUGUUGAUGGAGCAAUCGCCUAGAAGUACGAAUUUCGAUACAUUUCGAUACAACUGAUAGCUCGUAAUGUUCAUUCGCAACGUAUAGAAGUGCGAAUUUCGAUACAACUGAUAGCUCGUAAUGUUCAUUCGCAACGUAUAGAAGUGAGAAUUUCGAUACAACUGAUAGCUCGUAAUGUUCAUUCGCAACGUAAACAAGUGCGAAUUUCGAUAAAACUAAUAACUCGUAAUGUUCCUUCACAACGUAUAGAAGUGGCAUUUCGAUACAACUGAUAGCUCGUAAUGUUCAUUCGCAACGUAUAGAGUUGCGAACUUCGAUACAACUGAUAGCUCGUAAUGUUCAUUCGCAACGUAUAUAAGUGCGAAUUUGUGUACAACUGAUAGCUCGUAAUGUUCGUUCGCAACGCAUAGAAGAAGUACGAACUUCGAUACGAUUGAUAGGUCGUAAUACUAUUUCAUCCCUAAUCUCAGCUCGAAAAAAACACAACAACUUCUUUCACGAAAUGUUCAGUAGAAGAUAAAGAUGAUGCUUCCGGAAUUAAAAAAUCGACCCGUGGAGACCAUUGACUUUGUUUUACAUUUGUGAAUAUAUAAUAUACAUACACUUCAUUUGAACUGUGUCGUUUUGAGUAACUGAUUGCCCCUUGCAAAUUGCUUUGCCAAUUGCGAGAGAACCUAAACGAUUUUAUAUUAACAAGUGUGAAUAAUUACAGGAAAAACCUAAGAAUAUGAAAGUCUUUUGCCCGCAAACGUGGGAAUAAACUUU